GACCUCCACUUACUAAUUUCAAGGGUCCUUAUGUGAAAUAUGAGGUUCUGUAAGGCAAUGAAAUGUAAUAAUUAUCUCCAUCAAACUUUGUCUGUCUCACAUCUCACACAGGACAUGAAAUAAAUGGAUUAUAUCUAUAUGGCCACAUGUGAAAACAGAUUGUAUCAAACACAUUGAACAAAUAUCCUCAAGAGUCUUGUUGGUUGUUAGAAGGAAAUCCUGAAAUGAAACUUUCAGUAUAGGAGUGUAAUGCAGGGUUUUAAAAGACGCAGAAAUGUGCGUCCAAUACACAAAAUGUAUAGAAAGAAUGCAGAAAAUUACACAUACUAUGUCCCAUGGGAUGCAUGAUAAUAUUCGAAAUUUGAGACAAGAAAUAUAAAGUUCAUGUUAUCAAAGUAUUAUUCAAACCUUUAAUAAAUUAACAGC